rnacentral:tRNA from 1 species
GCUGGCGCAGGUGGUGCUGGGCUGGCGGGCGGCGCUGACGGUGCCGCCGCUGUUAUGGCACGGCCACGAGAUGGUGUUCGGGUUCGCCACGGCGGCG